AGGCGAGCGCUGAGCCCCUCCGUGGGGCUGGCAGAGAGGCGAGCGCUGAGCCCCUCCGUGGGGCUGGCAGAGAGGCGAGCGCUGAGCCCCUCCGUGGGGCUGGGGGACCAGCGUGUCCCGGCCCGCGCCGCCGCCUGCUUGCAGCUGUGGCGCCUCCGUGGCUAGCGCUGCUUUCGCUUCAGCAUAGCAGCUCGGUUCUUGCAACCGGUCGGGGCAAGUUUUCAUCAUCGUUUUGGCUACUUUUGCCUCCGAUACAGUCGCUGAACGUGCUUGGAGUCUGCAGAGCGGAGGGGUGCUGGGGCACGGCUGUGCUUUCACACCACGAUGUGAAAAGCCUCUGCUGUGGUGGGACUUGCUGUGUGUGGAUAUUCCUGCUUCUUCCACCUCCCAUUCCACACUUCAGAAGGAAACCUAAGGAGAGAGAACUGUCCAAAAGGAAAACCAAGGCGUUUUACAAGGCUUUGCUCACCAUACCUUAUUUCAUGAUAUCCAACAUUCAUUUUGAAAGCACAUCUGCUGAAUGCUACUGCUCUCAACAACUGCCUCAAGGAUUCUGUUGCAUAAAAAUUCCCAGUCUGUGGUCCUGGUAGAAGUAAGUAAUUACACAGUUUACAUUUUGCAUUCUGCAAUUCAGGAGGAUACUAUAAAUGUAAUAAACUUGAUCCCUGGUCUAUAACUUAUUUCCCAAGGCUUCCAAUGUUCCUCUAGUCCUCAUGAGCAAUUUCUUGAC